rnacentral:misc_RNA from 1 species
GAUGAAGAACGCAGCGAAACGCGAUAGGUAAUGUGAAUUGCAGAAUUCCGUGAAUCAUCGAAUCUUUGAACGCACAUUGCGCCUUCUGGUAUUCCGGUAGGCAUAUCUGUUUGAGCGUCAGCGAAACAACCCCCUCGGACCGGUCUGGCGGAAACGUCGGGCCGGGCGCCGGCUAUGGGUGUGGAGCGGUUGUGCCGAAACGGCCGGCCCUUCCGCCUUAAAUAAGCUGCGCGACCGCGAGCCUCCUCUGGCCUCGGGGAUAAUAUCGGAGUGGUGUUUACAUGUCUUCCGAAUCCUCGCAGAUACCGGCUAAUGCGGCGUUAAACUCUAUGUCAACGACCCACUUGCUGGGCUGUGACUGUGGUUUGACCUCAAAUCAGAUAAGAAUACCCGCUGAACUUAAGCAUAUCAAUAAGCGGAGGA